UCUGAUAUGGCUCAGUUGGUUGAGCGUCAGACUAUAAAUCGAAAGGUCCUUAAUUCGAUCCUGGGUUCCGGCA
rnacentral:tRNA from 1 species